rnacentral:rRNA from 1 species
GAUGAACGCUGGCGGCGUGCCUAAUACAUGCAAGUCGAGCGAACGGACGAGAAGCUUGCUUCUCUGAUGUUAGCGGCGGACGGGUGAGUAACACGUGGAUAACCUACCUCUAAGACUGGGAUAACUUCGGGAAACCGGAGCUACUACUGGAUAAUAUUUUGAACCGCAUGGUUCAAAAGUGAAAGACGGUCUUGCUGUCACUUAUAGAUGGAUCCGCGCUGCAUUAGCUAGUUGGUAAGGUAACGGCGUACCAAGGCAACGAUGCAUAGCCGACCUGAGAGGGUGAUCGGCCACACUGGAACUGAGACACGGUCCAGACUCCUACGGGAGGCAGCAGUAGGGAAUCUUCCGCAAUGGGCGAAAGCCUGACGGAGCAACGCCGCGUGAGUGAUGAAGGUCUUCGGAUCGUAAAACUCUUUUAUUAGGGAAGAACAUAUGUGUAAGUAACUGUGCACAUCUUGACGGUACCUAAUCAGAAAGCCACGGCUAACUACGUG